GACCAUACAUGAUAUAGAUUUUAAUGGUUAGGGCUAAUGAUCAGAUGACAUAUCAAUUUUCAUAUUAAUUGUAUAUAUCAUAGAGAACUCAGACAUUUACAAUUUACAAUAUUUUUGUAAAUAAACAAAAUUUCUUCAGGCUGCAAAUCCUACACCAACCAUGGUCAACUUAACCACAUGUUUCCAGCUAUCAUCAUGCCAUGCCUCAAAACUUGAAAAUUUGUAAUCCAAGCCUGCCUUCAGUGCCAAAUUGUAUUGAUCAUGUUCUUCAGCUACAAAUUAUAUAGUUGCUGAAAUCAAUUGGGUCCCCAGCAGCUGAGGUACAUGACUUUCCUGAGAGACUCUUCAGACUGCUUCACCUUCUCAUCUCUAAGCUUGCUUGAAACCAGGGAAGAGGAUGAGGAAGAGAGCUUGUUAGCCUGAGAAAAAGACCCAAUUUGGCUCUUUGCAUGCUGCUGCAUUAAUCUCAUAGUAUAAUUCCACCUGCAGAUCCCUUGGUCUUUCAAGGCCUCCACAACUCCAACACUUGCUGCCACCACCCAACCUCUCCUUGCUGCUGCUGAUGAUGAACUGCUCAUAUUGAUAUCUUCUUCUGUAAACUCAUAAGAACACUCUUAAACUUGAUGGGAAGUAAAACUGAUGUUUUGAUGUGUUUGAAUUUUGAUGAAGUAAAUGGGGAGUUGGUGUUGCUUUUAUAUGGAGGGAGUGAGAGUGACACUAAAACUAAGCCCCAUAAAAUGUGGGGAAAAAAAAGCCAUGGGCUAGCUCUAGCUGUAGAGGUUUUUGCUGGGAGUAGCCAG
rnacentral:lncRNA from 1 species